rnacentral:rRNA from 2 species
UGGGGAAUAUUGGGCAAUGGGCGCAAGCCUGACCCAGCAACGCCGCGUGAAGGAAGAAGGUUUUCGGAUUGUAAACUUCUGUCCUUGGUGACGAAGAAAGUGACGGUAGCCAAGGAGGAAGCCCCGGCUAACUACGUGCCAGCAGCCGCGGUAAUACGUAGGGGGCAAGCGUUGUCCGGAAUGACUGGGCGUAAAGGGCGUGUAGGCGGCUCUUUAAGUGUGAAGUGAAAGUCCUGCUUUCAAGGUGGGAACUGCUUUGCAAACUGGAGAGCUUGAGUGCGGAAGAGGUAAGUGGAAUUCCCAGUGUAGCGGUGAAAUGCGUAGAGAUUGGGAGGAACACCAGUGGCGAAGGCGACUUACUGGGCCGCAACUGACGCUGAGGCGCGAAAGCGUGGGGAGCGAACAGG